CACGUAGUUGGCCGGGGCUUCUUCUGCAGGUACCGUCACGAUCGUCCCUGCUGAAAGCGGUUUACAACCCGAAGGCCUUCAUCCCGCACGCGGCGUCGCUGCAUCAGGCUUUCGCCCAUUGUGCAAGAUUCCCCACUGCUGCCUCCCGUAGGAGUCUGGGCCGUGUCUCAGUCCCAGUGUGGCUGGACAUCCUCUCAGACCAGCUAUCCGUCGUAGCCUUGGUGAGCCGUUACCUCACCAACAAGCUGAUAGACCGCGAGCCCAUCCCGAAGCGGAAUCCAUUUCCUCACCUCAACAUGCGUUGUGGUGAGGGCAUCCGGUAUUAGCACCGGUUUCCCGGUGUUAUCCCGGUCUUCGGGGCAGGUUGCUCACGUGUUACGCACCCGUUCGCCACUUUCCACCCGGGCAAGCCCGGGCUUCACGUUCGACUUGCAUGUGUUAAGCGCGCCGCCAGCGUUCGUCCUGAGCAGGAUCAAACUCU
rnacentral:rRNA from 1 species